GAUGAACGCUGGCGGCAUGGAUAAGGCAUGCAAGUCGAAAGGGUUUAGGCCCUUGGCAAACGGGUUAGUAAUACAUAGGAAUCUGCCCUGAAGUCGUGGAUAAUCCGGAGAAAUCCGGAACAAUACACGAUAUGCUCUACGGAGUAAAGAUUUAUCGCUUCAGGAGGAGCCUGUGUCCUAUCAGCUAGUUGGUAAGGUAAAGCUUACCAAGGCUAUGACGGGUAGGGGUGUGAGAGCAUGGCCCCCCAACAUUGGAACUGAGACACUGUCCAAACACCUACGGGUGGCUGCAGUCGAGAAUAUUUGUCAAUGCGCGAAAGCGUGAACAAGCAAUGCCGCGUGCAGGAUGAAGGGCUUUUCGGGGUCGUAAACUGCUUUUAUUAGGGAAGAAUCAAGAUGACGGUACCUAAUGAAUAAGAGGUUACUAACUCUGUGCCAGCAGCCGCGGUAAU
rnacentral:rRNA from 1 species